rnacentral:rRNA from 1 species
UACGUAGGCAGCAAGCGUUGUUCGGAAUUACUGGGCGUAAAGAGUGUGUAGGCGGUGCUCUAAGUUUGUCGUGAAAUCUCCCGGCUUAACUGGGAGGGUGCGGCGAAAACUGGAGUGCUAGAGGGUGGGAGAGGAAAGCGGAAUUCCUGGUGUAGCGGUGAAAUGCGUAGAUAUCAGGAGGAACACCGGUGGCGAAGGCGGGUCUCUGGGAAGGUACCGACGCUGAUGCGCGACAGCAUGGGGAGCAAACAGG